UCAGGGUUGUAGUUGUAAGGUUUCUUUUUAUGGCGUGAUGGUACUUUUUUCAAGGUUGACUAGUGUUAGGCUUAUUCUGCAGUGUUCCUUUGGUCUGGCGGUGCCUUGAGUGCCAGCAGGACUACGUUGUCAAUAGCUCUCUUCUUAUUUGCGCCAGGGAUUUAGGUACGUCAAACUGACAUACAACAGUAGUAUUCAAGAUGCGAGGAGAGAGAUAAUCGUCUCCUACGAUUCAUUUGAGACCCGUUCCCUUUGAAGACUAGACUCAACGGAUAAUAAGUCCUUGUUUAAUAGGUAUAAGGGUCGAUAUGCCCUAAGCAUUAUCUUUUCCCCUUUAACAUUCUGUAUUUUCUUCUUUAGAAACUGUUGUAUAGAUUUCAAAGUUAGAAUCAAAGGCAUUUGACUUAUUUUAAGUUUUCAAAUUCGAUUAUAUGUAACAGAGGAUUAAACCUCUAGAAUUGCUCAGUACCCA
rnacentral:lncRNA from 1 species